rnacentral:lncRNA from 1 species
AAAAUAGAACAGGAUGAAAGAAGAUUCUCCAGGGCCUGCACUUGGAGAGACAUCACCCACAUCUUCAUUUAAUACCUCAAGAGGGUCUGAUACAAAAGGGCUGAAGAGUUCUCUUCAGAAAUACAAUUCAGGAUGGCAGCUCACCACCAACCGGAGAACUUUAAGCAAGUGAAGAAGAACACACC